rnacentral:misc_RNA from 1 species
AGGAAAGGUAGGCGGCAGAAGAGUAUCACUAGAUCUUUUGAUGGAAAAUAUCAACCAGUUUCAUCAGAAAAUAACAAUGUUGAAGUUGGAAGUGUUAAUCCUUACAUAGGGGACAAUGGAACUAAGACGCUGAGACAAUUACAGGCAGAGGAGGAUGAUGAGGAAAGGUUCCAAGCAGAUCUAAAAAAGGCUGUACGCCAAAGCCUUGGUAAAAAAAUUCUUUCACCAUUUUUUUGUUAUUAUUACAUUCUUUAUCAGUAUAUGUGGUGAAAACUAGGGACCAUCUAGAUGGACUAUGAGGGAACAAGAUAAAUUAUCUUGAUGCCCUUGUCAACGUUACUUUCCUUUUUUCUCUCUGUUUGGAGCUCGUAACCAUUGCUUUUACAGCAUGGGUAAUUUUAUGGCACAGAAUCCUCAUGUGAGGGGAUUUCUGUACCAAGACGUAACUCCUGCAAUCCUACUGAUUUGAAAUUAUGAACUAUCUAUACUUAAUAUAGGUUUUCUGUAUUAUUAUAUUUGGCAAGUUGCAUAUUGCUAUUACUUUGUGGAAUUAGUGAGGCUUCAUGCUAUGUUGAGGUUAUCGUAUGUUUUUGUAGGAUGGGACGCCCUUUUAGGACCACAAUUUUCCAAACCAAGUUUUGUUGGUAAUUUUGAGCAACAUGGGCAAUUAAUUCAGUCUGUUUUGUUUGGUUCCUUAUAAUAUUCAUUGAGUUAUUUAUUUAACUAUUUUUUGCUUUAGAUGAGAACUUUGACGUGAUUCAUAAUUAUGGGAUUACCACUUAGGCCUGCUGUCAGUUCUGUUUUGCUUUAAGCAGCAACAAGCAUGCUGUUGUUUGGCUUAUCUGAGUGAAUCUUGUUUCUCAAAUAUUGGAUAUGCGUGCACAUGUUGUUGCAAGAAAUACUUGGAGAGUGAUUUUAGUUGCAAUUAGUAUGCAAUAUUCCAACCUCAUUGUGUCUUAGUGACCCAAUAGAGCUGAAUGGCGAAAAAAAAGAUCCAUAUAGCCGACCCCAAGUAGUUUGGGACUAAAACUUAGUUGUUGUUGUAUUUUGUCUUGGGGACCUUUACAAGCCAAAUCUAACUCGACUAAUUGGUUAAUUGUGGGGCUAAACUCUUACCUAUCUAUGACUUAAUAAAGAAAUAUACUUAAGAUUCCAUAAUUAAUGUUUAGUAAUGAACUUGAAGUGAGAUUAUAGGAUACUGCUUGUAAUGAUUGUAAUUAUAAUUGUUAGACAAGUUUAUUUUUGUAUAUAUUGGCACUGUAUCAGGUGGAAACUAUCAUUUCCAUAUUAUGUAUGACAAGAUGGACAUGUAUGAAAGUUGAACUCAAAUUUGCAUCCAAAGUAAAAGUCUCUCUCCCUGUUAGAUGCAUUUUAUCACUGCAUGAUACAUGUACUUUUUAUUAUAAUUGUAUGGCUUAAUCUCUUGUGAUUGCUAAUCUUGCUAUGCUAGUUUUUGAUGGAGCCUUACCUAUAUUUUAACUUGAGCUUGGGUGAAUGCCUUUUUGGAGGUUGCAUACAUCUUAUGCAUCUAAAUGCAUUUAUCAACAUCUUAAACAUUCUACUUUCCUUCUGCUGAUUCUUGAAUUAAAAAUAUUUUCAACACUUUUCCUUGUAUUUCUGUUGAUCCAGACACAUUUCAAGCGCAUCAGAAAUCACCCUUGAUUUCAACUUCAAGGAUGUCCCAAAAUAUAUCUCUGGAAGUUAACAGUGCUGGUGUUUCACCGGCUGAAGUUGCAAUUGAAAAUGUGAACAAAACUGAUGUGGUUGGCACAGGCCUGCAGAAUGAUGUUGGUGAAUACAAUUGUUUUCUGAAUGUUAUUAUACAGUCCUUAUGGCAUUUAAGACGGUUUCGAGAGGAGUUCUUGCAGAGAUCAACAUCAGAGCAUGUUCAUGUGGGGCAACCAUGUGUUGUCUGUGCAUUAUAUGAUAUUUUCACUUCUCUGAGCACUGCAUCUGCAGAUAUGCGAAGAGAAGCUGUUGCUCCUACAUCUCUGAGAAUAGCUCUAAGCAACUUGUACCCUGAUAGUAAUUUCUUCCAGGAGGGUCAGAUGAAUGAUGCAUCUGAAGUACUGGCAGUAAUAUUUAAUUGCCUUCAUCAGGCAUUUGCUUCUGGUUCAAGUGGUUCUGAUUCUGACUCAGUGGAAAGCAAUGGCAUGGGGUCUUGGGAUUGUACAAACAAUGCUUGUUUAGUGCAUUCUCUUUUUGGAAUGGAUAUUUUUGAACGAAUGAAUUGCAAUAGCUGUGAUUUGGAGUCCAGACAUCUGAAGUACACUUCUUUCUUUCAUAAUAUGAAUGCUAGUGCCCUCCGAAAAAUGAAGGUCAUGCGUUCUGAAAACUCUUUUGAAGAGCUAUUAAAUCUAGUAGAGAUGAAUCAUCAAUUGGCUUGUGAUCCUGAGGUUGGUGGUUGUGGGAAGCUUAACUGUAUCCAUCAUAUUCUGUCAACUGCACCACAUGUUUUUACAACAGUUCUGGGAUGGCAAAAUACAUGUGAAAGUGCUGAGGAUAUAGCAGCAACAUUGGCAGCUAUUAAUACUGAGAUCGACAUUGGCACUCUGUACCGUGGUCUAGAUCUGAAAAACAUGCAUAGCUUGGUUUCAGUGGUAUGCUAUUAUGGGCAACAUUAUCAUUGCUUUGCCUAUAGUCAGGAGCAUGAACGAUGGAUUAUGUAUGAUGACAAAACUGUCAAGGUAAAUUUAUCUACUGUAAAAUGAUGACUUUUAUUUUGUGUGCAUGUCUAUUUUGUUAAAGCGUGCAUUUGUUUCAAGGUAAUUGGCAGCUGGGUGGAUGUUCUUUCCAUGUGUGAAAGAGGGCACUUGCAACCUCAGGUUCUUUUCUUUGAAGCUGUAAACUAGUUAGUGGAACUUGUCAAAUUAUUCUCUGCACAGAAGAGCACUGAGUUCAGCAUGGCUUGACAUUUGAUUGCUGUCUGUGGUGAGAUGUUUGUAGUGUUGCAUUGUAGCUCUACCCUGACGCAUUUCAUAUGGUGAAAUAUACAGCUUGGCUUCAGUUUUGAUACAAAAUGAGAGUUGUGAUAUAAGAUCAAAAGUUUUGUCACAUAGAUAGGAGGUUUUCUUGGAAAAAUGAUAUUCUCAGGGAAGAAUAACUAUCAAGGAAAUUUUCUUCUUCAAGCUUUCGGCUAGAAGAAAUCAGUAACACAAUAGACUGGUGUGUAGAAUUCUUGGGACUCUGUGAAUCAAAAAGUAUCGUCUGGGUAAUCAAGAUUUGUCGAUGGAAUUUUCUUUUUCUUUCGUGAAUCUUUCAAAUAAGGUGGGUGGUUGAGAAGAAGAGCAGUAAUUUUCUUGGUUACCAGCCUGUGAAUGCAUUGAAACUUAUGAUGCUUUUUGUAAGGUGGCAAAUAAUGAUCGGUGUUACCAGGAGCAUAUACUAAUAGCAAUUGUAAGUGGGGAAUUUAGUUAAAAAUGGAUUCAAACUUUCUUUUAGAUGCAAAAUUUUGAGAAAUUUCCCCCUUUUGUAUAGAUUACAUCAUGGCCCUUCGGGUUUUCAACUUUUCAUAUGCAGCUUCUUGUUGUCGAAUAUGAUCAUGAUGUAAUGACGAUGGGGUAUUAAUGGUAAAUUUAUUGCUCAUUCUUCUUCUUUAAAA